rnacentral:rRNA from 1 species
CGUACGAAGAGUUUGAUCCUGGCUCAGGAUGAACGCUGGCGGCGCGCUUCAUGCAUGCAAGUCGAACGAGAGAUCGGGCUUCGGCCCGUGAUCUAGUGGCGGACGGCUGAGUAACACGUGAGGAACUUGCCCUCCGGUGGGGGACAACCACGGGAAACCGUGGCUAAUACCGCAUGAUGUCACGUUUCAUAAGGGAUGUGACCAAAGAUUUCGGUUGCCGGAGGAGAGUCUCGCGGCCUAUCAGCUAGUUGGUGAGGUAACGGCCCACCAAGGCGAUGACGGGUAGCCGGUCUGAGAGGAUGAUCGGCCAGAGGGGGACUGAGACACGGCCCCCACUCCUACGGGAGGCAGCAGCAGGGAAUCUUGCGCAAUGGGCGAAAGCCUGACGCAGCGACGCCGCGUGGGGGAUGAAGGCUCUAGGGUU